UACGUAGGGUGCAAGCGUUAAUCGGAAUUACUGGGCGUAAAGCGUGCGCAGGCGUCUUGCAAGACAGAUGUGAAAUCCCCGGGCUCAACCUGGGAACUGCAUUUGUGACUGCAAGGCUGGAGUACGGUAGAGGGGGAUGGAAUUCCGCGUGUAGCAGUGAAAUGCGUAGAUAUGCGGAGGAACACCGAUGGCGAAGGCAAUCCCCUGGACCUGUACUGACGCUCAUGCACGAAAGCGUGGGGAGC
rnacentral:rRNA from 1 species